rnacentral:rRNA from 1 species
GACAGAGGUGCCGAGCGUUAGGCGGAAUCACUGGGCUUAAAGCGUGUGUAGGCGGGUCGUUAAGUGUCUUGUGAAAUCCCACGGCUCAACCGUGGAACUGCUGGGUAUACUGGCGGUCUUGAGCCACCUAGGGGCAACUGGAACAAGCGGUGGAGCGGUGAAAUGCGUAGAUAUCGCUUGGAACGCCAACGGUGAAAACAGGUUGCUGGGGGUGUGCUGACGCUGAGACACGAAAGCCAGGGGAGCGAACGGG